AGAAGGUUUUCGGAUCGUAAAGCUCUGUUGUAAGUCAAGAACGGGUGUGAGAGUGGAAAGUUCACACUGUGACGGUAGCUUACCAGAAAGGGACGGCUAACUACGUGCCAGCAGCCGCGGUAAUACGUAGGUCCCGAGCGUUGUCCGGAUUUAUUGGGCGUAAAGCGAGCGCAGGCGGUUUGAUAAGUCUGAGAAGUUAAAGGCUGUGGCUCAACCAUAGUUCGCUUUGGAAACUGUCAAACUUGAGUGCAGAAGGGGAGAGUGGAAUUCCAUGUGUA
rnacentral:rRNA from 1 species